CCCUUAGAUGUUCUGGGCCGCACGCGCGCUACACUGACGAAUGCAACGAGCUUAUAACCUUGGCCGAAAGGUCUGGGUAAUCUCCAAAUUUCGUCGUGAUGGGGAUAGAUUAUUGCAAUUAUUAAUCUUCAACGAGGAAUGCCUAGUAAGCGCAAGUCAUCAGCUUGCGUUGAUUACGUCCCUGCCCUUUGUACACACCGCCCGUCGCUCCUACCGAUUGAGUGGUUCGGUGAACUCUUCUGGCUGCGCGGCACUAGCUUGUGCGGAAAGUUGAAUAAAUCAUAUCACUUAGAGGAAGGAAAAGUCGUAACA
rnacentral:rRNA from 1 species